rnacentral:rRNA from 1 species
CGGGUGAGUAAUGUCUGGGAAACUGCCUGAUGGAGAGGGAUAACUACUGGAAACGGUAGCUAAUACCGCAUAACGUCGCAAGACCAAAGAGGGGGACCUUAGGGCCUCUUGCCAUCGGAUGUGCCCAGAUGGGAUUAGCUAGUAGGUGGGGUAACGGCUCACCUAGGCGACGAUCCCUAGCUGGUCUGAGAGGAUGACCAGCCACACUGGAACUGAGACACGGUCCAG